rnacentral:misc_RNA from 1 species
ACGUGAAGUAGGAAUCGCUAGUAAUCGCAGGUCAGCAUACUGCGGUGAAUACGUUCCCGGGCCUUGUACACACCGCCCGUCACACCAUGGAAGUUGGCCAUGCCCGAAGUCGUUACUCCAACCCUUGUGGAGGAGGACGCCGAAGGUGGGGCUAAUGACUGGGGUGAAGUCGUAACAAGGUAGCCGUACCGGAAGGUGCGGCUGGAUCACCUCCUAACAGGGAGACAACAAAAUGUUUAAUAUUAUUAUUUUGUCACCUUAGGUCGAUCGGUAUCUCACGUUCUUAAUUUAUUAAGAAUUUCCUUUCCUAAGUUUUUCUAGGUCACACCCAUUAUUUUUCCUGGGCCAUUAGCUCAGGUGGUUAGAGCGCACCCCUGAUAAGGGUGAGGUCCCUGGUUCAAGUCCAGGAUGGCCCAUAUCUCUAUGUUGGGGGUAUAGCUCAGUUGGUAGAGCGCCUGCUUUGCAAGCAGGAUGUCAGCGGUUCGAGUCCGCUUACCUCCACUGAUUACCACCUCUUCCAUAAGCGGUAGAAAGGAAAUGUUUUGAGUUGUGAUCAAAUUCUGAACGAAUCUAGCUUCCUAAUGAAAUCAUUAAGAUGCUGGACUCAUUGAAUUAAAUUCAUUGUUUUCAGAGAACCUUGACAACUGCAUAGAUUAUUUUUAAAGACAAUAAGCAUCUUUAUUGAUGCAGAUUUAUUAUUUGUGCGAACGCACUAAUAACAAUUCUAUUAAGCUGAUGCUUCAAUUUUUGAAGUUAUUGGUCAAGCUACAAAGGGCUCACGGAGGAUACCUAGGCACACAGAGGCGAUGAAGGACGUGGUUACCUGCGAUAAGUCUCGGGGAGUGGA